ensembl:lncRNA
GUAAAGAGAGUGUCAGACAGGAUCAUGAGCCUGAAGUUGGAGGCUGAUGGUGUAAUUUUGAAUGUGGUCAUAUGCACCACAGGUUGGUUGUCAGUUAGAGGAGAAAGAGGAAUUUUGGAGUAAGAUGGAUGAAGUGGUAGAUGGUGUCCCUAGAGAGGAGAGAUUAGUGAUUGGUGCAGACUUCAAUGGACAUGUUGGUGAAGGGAACAGAGGGGAUGAAGAGGUGCUGGGUAUGUAUGGUGUGAAAGACAGAAAUGUGGAAGGUCAGAUGGUUGUAGAUUUUGCAAAGAGAAUGGAAAUGGCUGUGGUGAACAUGUAUUUUCAGAAGAGGAAAGAGCACAGGGUGACAUACAAGAGUGGAGGGAGGUGCACACGGGUAGAUUAUAUCCUUAGCAGGAGAUGCCACCUAAAGGAGAUUGGAGAUUGUAAAUUGGUACCAGGGGAAAGUGUAACAAGGCAACAUAGGGUGGUUGUCUGUAGAAUGAGAUUAGAAACAAAGAAGAGGAAGAGAGUGAAGACAGAGCCAAAGAUUAGAUGGUGGAAGCUGAAGGAGGAGGAUGGUUGCAGGCAGUUCAGGGAAAAAUUGCAACAGGCCCUUGGGGGCAGUGAGGAGCUACCUGAGGACUGGGAAACUACAGCUAAGGUGGUGAGAGAAACUGGCAAAAAUGUGUUGGGUGUUUCGUCUGGUCAGAGGAAAGAAGACAAGGAAAGUUGGUGGUGGAAUGAGGAAGUCCAGGAGAGUAUUGAGAAGAAGAAGGCAGCUAAGAAAAAGUGGGAUAACCAGAGAGAUGAAGUAGGCAGGCAGGAGUACUGUGAGGCUAGUCGCAUAGCGAAAAGAAUGGUGGCAAAGGCUCAGGCCUAUGAUAAGCUGUAUGAGAGGCUGGACAGUAAAGAAGGAGUAAAGGACUUGUAUCGUUUGGCUAAACGGAGAGAUAGAGCUGGAAAGGAUGUACAGCAGGUUAGGCUGAUAAAGGAUAGAGAGGGAAAUGUACUAGUGAGUGAACAGAGAGUGUUGAGUAGAUGGAAGAACUUUGAAGAACUAAUGAAUGAGGAAAAUGAGAGAGAGAGGAGGACAAUGGGGGGAGAGAUAGUGGAUCAGGAAGUGCAAAGAAUUAGUAAGAUGGAAGUGAGGGCAGCUUUAAAAAGGAUGAAGAAUGGAAAGGCAGUUGGUCCAGAUGACAUACCUGUGGAGGUAUGGAGAUGUUUAGGAGAGAAGGCAGUGGACUUUUUAAUCAGGUUGUUUAACAAAAUCCUGGAGAGUGAGAGGAUGCCUGAUGAGUGGAGAAACAGUGUACUGGUCCCCAUUUUUAAGAACAAGGGUGAUGUGCAGAGCUGUAGUAACUACAGAGGUAUAAAGUUGAUGAGCCACACCAUGAAGGUAUGGGAAAGAGUUGUUGAAGCAAGGUUAAGGCGAGAGGUUCAGAUCAGUGAGCAGCAGUUUGGUUUCAUGCCCAGAAAGAGUACCACAGAUGCAAUUUUUGCGUUGAGAGUGUUGGUAGAGAAGUACAGAGAAGGUCAGAAGGAGCUACAUUGAGUCUUUGUGGAUCUAGAGAAGGCAUAUGAUAGGGCGCCAAGAGAGGAACUGUGGUACUGUAUGAGGAAGUCAGGUGUAGCUGAAAAGUAUGUUAGGGUGGUGCAGGACAUGUAUGAGGAUAGUGAGACAGUGGUGAGGUGUGCAGUUGGAGUGACAAAUGGUUUCAAUGUGAAGGUAGGGUUACAUCAGGGAUCAGCUUUGAGCCCCUUCUUGUUUGCAAUGGUGAUGGAACCUGGACCAUGUUAGGCAGCUAAUAAAAACAACAGAUGGGGGCUUUGUGUGGGAAUGUAGCAUUAGCAUUAACAGUAGCUUUUAGCUUAAUUCUGCACCCCCCAAAACUCAUUUGAUGGAAAAUGUAUCUGCAACUGGAUAUCAAUAGUUAUUGCCAGCCUCACUUUUAGCCACCAAUUUCAGUUUAGCUCCUUUUUCGAUUUUUCCAUUCCAAUUGCAUUUACACGGUGCUGCUGUAACAUUCUGGCAUAUUUAGGCCGAGAAUGCACUGUUUAAGAUGGACUUAAGAUGGAAUUGAC